rnacentral:rRNA from 1 species
UACGUAGGGUGCAAGCGUUGUCCGGAAUUAUUGGGCGUAAAGAGCUCGUAGGCGGUUUGUUGCGUCGGCUGUGAAAUCCCGAGGCUCAACCUCGGGUCUGCAGUCGAUACGAGCAAACUAGGGUGUUGCAGGGGGAGACUGGAAUUCCUGGUGUAGCGGUGAAAUGCGCAGAUAUCAGGAGGAACACCGGUGGCGAAGGCGGGUCUCUGGGCCGAAACUGACGCUGAGGAGCGAAAGCGUGGGGAGCGAACAGG